rnacentral:rRNA from 1 species
UUUAUUGGAGAGUUUGAUCCUGGCUCAGGAUGAACGCUGGCGGCGUGCCUAAUACAUGCAAGUCGAGCGAAUGAAUUAAGAGCUUGCUCUUAUGAAGUUAGCGGCGGACGGGUGAGUAACACGUGGGUAACCUGCCCAUAAGACUGGGAUAACUCCGGGAAACCGGGGCUAAUACCGGAUAACAUUUUGAAC